rnacentral:lncRNA from 10 species
UGAGGGUAACCCGACCUUUCUCUCUGGCUGCCCUUAACAUUUUUUCCUUCAUUUCAACUUUGGUGAAUCUGACAAUUAUGUGUCUUGGAGUUGCUCUUCUCGAGGAGUAUCUCUGUGGCAUUCUCUGUAUUUCCUGAAUCUGAAUGUUGGCCUUCCUUGCUAGAUUGGGGAAAUUCUCCUGGAUAAUAUCCUGCAGAGUGUUUUCCAACUUGGUUCCAUUCUCCCCAUCACUUUCAGGU